AUUUCUGCUCAUGUUGAAUUUAAAUAGCCGCGGUAAUUUGACUGUGCAAAGGNNUAUAAUCAUUUGCUCUAUAAUUGAGGGCUAGAAUGAAUGGAAUUUCAAGAUUCUUUCUUUAUUAUGGAAAAAGAAAUAAUUUGCUUUUUUAGUGAAGAAGCUAAGUUGUGUUUGUGGGACAAGAAGACCCUUUUGAGCUUUAUUAAAGUGGGUUUUUUUAAUCUUAGUUAAUUUGGUUGGGGCGACCAAGGAAGAUGGGUCUUCCUUAAAAACAUUGAUCCAGUGUUUCUGAUCGACGAAAUAAGCUACCAAAGGGAUAACAGCGUAAUUUUUUUUAUGAGUUCUUAUUAAAAAAAAAGAUUGCGACCUCGAUGUUGACUUAUGGUAUCCCGCUGGUGCAGCAGCUAAGAGGGUAGGUCUGUUCGACCUUUAAAGCCUU
rnacentral:rRNA from 1 species